rnacentral:rRNA from 1 species
UACGAAGGGGGCUAGCGUUGUUCGGAAUUACGUGGGCGUAAAGCGCACGUAGGCGGACAUUUAAGUCAGGGGUGAAAUCCCGAGGCUCAACCUCGGAACUGCCCUUUGAUACUGGGUGUCUUGAGUAUGGAAGAGGUAAGUGGAAUUGCGAGUGUAGAGGUGAAAUUCGUAGAUAUUCGCAGGAACACCAGUGGCGAAGGCGGCUACUGGUCCAUUACUGACGCUGAGGUGCGAAAGCGUGGGAGCAAACAGG